rnacentral:RNase_P_RNA from 1 species
UUGGAAGCGCGGAGGAUCGCUUUCCCCGGAGAAAUUCGGGGGAGGAGGAAAGUCCGAACGCCAGAGGGCGCGAUGCCGCGUAACCUUGGCUUGGCCAAGGAUACACGCGGGAGGCCAGGCCGCGAGGCCUGCCGACGGACAGUGCCACAGAGAAUAUACCGCCGCUUUGGAAUUUCAGAUUUGAAAUUUGAGAUUUCAAAGGGGUAAGGGUGAAAAGGUGGGGUAAGAGCCCACCGCUCCAAGCGCAAGCGCGGAGGCACGGAAAACCCCAUCGGGUGCAAGGCCA